UGAAAAUGUUUCUGGUGUGAAGAACAUGGUCGCCAGAGUCCAGUAAUCCUACGAAUUGCCUGUGUUUUUUUCUCUUUUUUUCUCCUUGAAAUGUUGUCUGUCGAAUACAGCUUCCUUUGUAUCAAAUUGGAUACUAUGUGAGGUGACAGUAGGUCUAAUAAUCAGUUCUCUCAUUUGGCAUCAGCUAAUAAGGUGCACCGUUCACUCAUUUGGCCUUCCAGUGAUAGAGAACCUUUGGGGGCACCAACGCCUCGGAUUAUGCCUGGUAGGCCUAAAUAGGAAAGGAUAACAGAGGAAGAAUCUACAAAUGGAUAAGUAUAGAAAUCACAUGCCAUUUGUGCUUCAAGAGAGGCCACGACUCAAGAAAUUGUCCAUUGAAACAAGAGAAAAGGGAUGGAGAGAUAGUCAGACAAAGAGAAACCAACCAACUUGUCACCGAGAUGCAUCAUAAGGAUGCCACCACGCAAAGGUACUUUUAACCUUACUGUUAAGAAACAUAGUAUGCACUUGAAUGAUUACAAGAGCCAUAUUAACUUGAGCAUUUUUUGGUUCUUAAUAGCCUGGAUGGGCAGGCACUCGAGUCAUUUAUCUACCGAGAGCUAUCAACAAUGUUGUGGUCAAUGCUAUGAAGGUGGAUUGCGCAUCUCACAUAUUUAUCACUUCAGUGGGAUUAGAGGAUCAGCUUUAUGGAAGUAAACGGGUUGUUAUGUAAAGAUUUGAAAUUUUUUGAAAGUACGCAUCUCUCUCGUCAAGCUGCAAAAGGAA